rnacentral:miRNA from 1 species
UUGGCCAAAAAGUUCAUUUGGGUUUGUCUGUAACAUCUUAUGGAAAAACCUGAACGAACUUUUUGGCCGAC